rnacentral:rRNA from 1 species
GCUUAUGCGUUGUUGGGUAGGGGAGCGUUCUGUAAGCCUGCGAAGGUGGCCUGUGAGGGUUGCUGGAGGUAUCAGAAGUGCGAAUGCUGACAUAAGUAACGAUAAAGCGGGUGAAAAGCCCGCUCGCCGGAAGACCAAGGGUUCCUGUCCAACGUUAAUCGGGGCAGGGUGAGUCGACCCCUAAGGCGAGGCCGAAAGGCGUAGUCGAUGGGAAACGGGUUAAUAUUCCCGUACUUGGUGUUACUGCGAAGGGGGGACGGAGAAGGCUAUGUUGGCCGGGCGACGGUUGUCCCGGUUUAAGCGUGUAGGUGUGUGUUCCAGGUAAAUCCGGUUCACUUUAACACUGAGGCGUGACGACGAGGCACUACGGUGCUGAAGCAACAAAUGCCCUGCUUCCAGGAAAAGCCUCUAAGCAUCAGGUAACAUCAAAUCGUACCCCAAACCGACACAGGUGGUCAGGUAGAGAAUACCAAGGCGCUUGAGAGAACUCGGGUGAAGGAACUAGGCAAAAUGGUGCCGUAACUUCGGGAGAAGGCACGCUGACACGUAGGUGAAGUGAUUUACUCAUGGAGCUGAAGUCAGUCGAAGAUACCAGCUGGCUGCAACUGUUUAUUAAAAACACAGCACUGUGCAAACACGAAAGUGGACGUAUACGGUGUGACGCCUGCCCGGUGCCGGAAGGUUAAUUGAUGGGGUCAGCGCAAGCGAAGCUCCUGAUCGAAGCCCCGGUAAACGGCGGCCGUAACUAUAACGGUCCUAAGGUAGCGAAAUUCCUUGUCGGGUAAGUUCCGACCUGCACGAAUGGCGUAAUGAUGGCCAGGCUGUCUCCACCCGAGACUCAGUGAAAUUGAACUCGCUGUGAAGAUGCAGUGUACCCGCGGCAAGACGGAAAGACCCCGUGAACCUUUACUAUAGCUUGACACUGAACAUUGAGCCUUGAUGUGUAGGAUAGGUGGGAGGCUUUGAAGUGUGGACGCCAGUCUGCAUGGAGCCGACCUUGAAAUACCACCCUUUAAUGUUUGAUGUUCUAACGUGGACCCGUGA